rnacentral:rRNA from 1 species
UACGUAGGGAGCAAGCGUUGUCCGGAUUUACUGGGCGUAAAGGGCGCGUAGGCGGUCAGCACAAGUCAGUUGUGAAAUCUCCGGGCUUAACUCGGAAAGGUCAACUGAUACUGUGCGACUAGAGUGCGGAAGGGGCAACUGGAAUUCUCGGUGUAGCGGUGAAAUGCGUAGAUAUCGAGAGGAACACCUGCGGCGAAGGCGGGUUGCUGGGCCGACACUGACGCUGAUGCGCGAAAGCCAGGGGAGCGAACGGG